CGCGUAGGCGGCUUGGCAAGUCUGGUGUGAAAUCUCACAGCUCAACUGUGAAACUGCAUCAGAAACUGCUUGGCUAGAGUGCGGGAGAGGAGAGUGGAAUUCCCAGUGUAGAGGUGAAAUACGUAGAUAUCUGGAAGAACACCAGUGGCGAAGGCGAUCUCUUGGUCCUUUACUGACGCUAAGGCGCGAAAGCGUGGGGAGCAAACA
rnacentral:rRNA from 1 species